rnacentral:lncRNA from 1 species
UUAAAAUAGAUGGCGUUAGGGAUAUAACGAGGGUUUUAAAAAUCUGUUGGGGGGAUUUCCUUAAAGCUACGCAACAGCUGGGAAGGAGUAGGCGUUAACCAUAAUUUUCAUCUUCAAAUUGAGAGAGUGUUCGAGAGAGAGACAAAAAGGGUUUUACUCACUGCACCGUAAGCGUAGCAAAUGUGGAUGAAGAUCACCAUAAGGAUCAAGAUGGUGGAAGGCUUGGAGAUCAACCUUGGAAAGGGAGUGGGUUAAAGACUUGUUAGCAAUCAAUAGAACCUUAAGAAUCUCUGAAAAGCCAAGGUAAGAAGAGUAACUAGGAUAUCAUAGGCGUAUCAGG